rnacentral:rRNA from 1 species
CCUGGGCAGUACCUGGAUGGGAGACCUCCUGGGGAAAACUAAGG